UGGGGAAUAUUGCACAAUGGGCGCAAGCCUGAUGCAGCCAUGCCGCGUGUAUGAAGAAGGCCUUCGGGUUGUAAAGUACUUUCAGUCGGGAGGAAGGUGGUAAGGUUAAUAACCUUGGCAAUUGACGUUACCGACAGAAGAAGCACCGGCUAACUCCGUGCCAGCAGCCGCGGUAAUACGGAGGGUGCAAGCGUUAAUCGGAAUUACUGGGCGUAAAGCGCACGCAGGCGGUUGAUUGAGUCAGAUGUGAAAUCCCCGGGCUUAACCCGGGAAUUGCAUCUGAUACUGGUCAGCUAGAGUCUUGUAGAGGGGGGUAGAAUUCCAUGUGUAGCGAUGAAAUGCGUAGAGAUGUGGAGGAAUACCGGUGGCGAAGGCGGCCCCCUGGACAAAGACUGACGCUCAGGUGCGAAAGCGGGGGGAGCAAACAGG
rnacentral:rRNA from 1 species